rnacentral:lncRNA from 1 species
CUUAAUCUUUGAACCUGGCUGGAGUUACAUCCCUUGAGCAGUGUUGAUGGGGAAUGUACUUACUUCUGUGUAUGCUUGUCUUAGUGAUUGUUGAACAAAGCACUGUUUGGCCAAUGAAGCAGCAAGUUAGGCGGGACUAGGAGUCGAGGAGGAUUCUGGGAAAUGUAGUAAAAGAUCCAGGCAGGAAGUGACAUAGCAGGCAGACUCAGUAUAUAAGCAAGGGCAAGAAGGAAGUCGCCCUUUUUGCUCUUCCUCCUGCUCUCUGCUCUGCAGUCGCCAUGCGACCUCCAGGAAGACAGGACACAUUCUGCCUGAGUGCUCCAAAGAUAAGUCUUAUGAUUAUGGUUGAUAAUUGAGACUGAGCUAGCACACGAGAAAUCCUAGUCAUUGGCCAAGCAGCAUUUGUACCUAAUAUAAGUCUCUGUGUGUUACUUGGGACCUUAACGUAGCAGCGGGCAGAACUCGGGUGGCCUGGCGGAAAGCACCCACGUGGCAGCAGGGCUUGGGUGGCUUCUUGGCAGAAAGACUUAUUGUUUCACAGUGUCACUUCAAAAGCCACAGAACCAUAUAUGCAGAUCUCACUGAGGUCCUUAGUUAGUACUUCUCUGUCAUCCCUGAACACCUCACACGGCAGUACCAGUGGUUAAAUGCAAGACUUGUAGGCAGGCAAGUGCUCUACCUCUGGGCAAACCCACCGGCCUCUUUACACUUAGAUUUGGAGGACACCGGACAUCUCAGUCAUGUUCCGUGAUGGCUACAAAUUACUGUCAACUUGACUUCAUUCAGAGACAGUCAGACCCCAGGCUCUGGCCUUAGCAGGCUUCCUGUCCUCUGCCAAAGUCUCCAGUGGCCAUGAUUUUAUACCCAAGUACGUGGGGGUGAAAGGACUGUGGAAAAGCCCUCUGAAACUGUAAGUCAAGGCCCCCGAGGAAGCAGGAUGAGAUGAUGGAGUUAGAAAUUCAACGUGUUCAUCGGAGGUGAUUUCUGUGAAGGAUGCCGGUGGGAGAGAUCAGGCGGAGAGAGCUCUGGUCCCUGGUUGAGACUUGAUGAUGUCACAGGCAAGUUCCAGUGGGGCCCGAAGCCAAAGUGACUCACAAGAUGAGGCCGUCCCUGGGCCCUUGCCUUGCUUCACCACCGGCUGAGGGGUGCUCCGGAAGAGCCUGGCCCAACAGGAAAGCUCCUUGGACUCGACAGUGCUGUUCAAAAGGGACACGUGCCCUUCAUGGAAGCCUCAUGACCAGGCUCAUCUAUGCAGAUGCCAGAGCCCAGGGCCCAGCUCCGCACACUGGCUCCAGAUUGAGUCAGGCUAGUAUGGCGGGGAUGUGGUCCUCAACACUUUGCUCAGGCCAAACCCCAGCAGUGCCUGACUCUCAGCUGCUGAGAUGCUGUCCCCUCUACCAGUCAUGACUCUAGGGGGGUGUUGUCCCUUUAUCCUCCAGGGAGACGGUGACCGGAAUUCAGGAUGCCCAUGUCCACACUGGGCCUGGACGAAAGCAGCCAGAACAACCAUGUCUGCUCUCUGCCUCCGUCUAUUUCCUGCUCUGCCCUUCCUCCCUCUCUCAGACAGCGUGUUACCUUGCAACCCAGGGUUGUCCUUCGCUCCGUGAUCCUCCUGACUCAGCCUCUAGUAUACCGGGAUUACAGUCAUCACAUCUGGGUCUCCACGGCUAUCACAGAACUCCUUUGCAGCGAGAAGCCUGCUGAUGUAGCAGCUCCAAUUUGAACAGUGGUUCAUAAAAAAAACCCACAGCCUUUCCGUGUGUUCCCUUCUCUCGUGGACGCCACAGGGUGUCCCUCCUCCUUCCCACACAGCUUGUGUCACCUGCCUCUGUGCCUUUGAGACAAGCUCAAGGGGUGAUUUGGUGGCUGGGAGUUCAACAACCUCUUCCUAGCGGUCAGUUCCGUUACCUCCCAGGCAAAGAUUCCAGUUUAGGUUUUAAGCUUGAAGAGCCAGGUGUGAUGGUCCCAGCACCCAGGAGGCUAAGAUGGGAAGAUGGAGAUGAAGAUGAGCCAGAACCCAGAGGACAGAGGUGCUAAUGUGGCCUACAAAUGGAAAGUGAAAGAAGCCGGGGUAGGCAUGCUGACUCAGCUGGCAACCUAAGGAUGGAGCCCACGCAGUCUCCACAGUCUCUGGGACAAACACGAUGGAAGGAGAGAAGUGACUCCCUCAGGUUGUCCUUAGACCUCCACAUGUAUGCAGUGGCAUGACCCCCACCCUCUCCCUGUGUCCCCCACACCAAUUACUUAAUUAAAGGGUUUUUUGUUUGUUUGUUUGUUUUUGUUUUUCGAGACAGGGUUUCUCUGUGGCUUUGGAGGCUGUCCUGGAACUCGCUCUUGUAGACCAGGCUGGUCUCGAACUCACAGAGAUCUGCCAGCCUCUGCCUCCCGAGUGCUGGGAUUAAAGGCGUACACCACCAACGCCCGGCAAGGUUUUUUUUUUUUUUUUAAGCCAGUGUAUCUGAUAGGCUUUGCUUACCACCCCAGGCUGGUUUUAGUGUCCCCUCGCCCUUUCCAGCAAAGAGGCCACUCUCUUGCCAUUACACCUCUCAAUGCUCAGAGGUCAGGGCCAGUGUCACUACCUCUGUCCCCUCCCUUGUCCCAGUGUCACUACCACUGAUCCCUGUACUCAACGUAGGCAAAGAGCAGCCAGACCGCUCAAGGGUCCCCCAGCACCUCGAGGUGGCUUGCCCACUGGACUCAAGUACAAUCUGUGCGGCCGCUCUCCCCCUACUCCCCAGCACCCACGGGGAGGGCAGCCGGCAUCGCUGAGUCUCAACCUGGGCUGUGUAUUUUUCAUUAUAUGUGAUUUUAAAUUUACUCUUUGAGAAUGUCAUACAUGCAUACAAUGAAUUUCAAUCAUAUGUAUCCCCUUCCCCUCCUCUAACUCUUCCCAGACUCUCCCAUCUCCCUCCCAAUUUCAUAUCCUAUUUUUUAAAUAACUCACUGAAUCCAAUUAGUGCUGUAUAUAUCUGAAAUGUCUGGAGCUACCCACUGGAACAUGGUCAGACUACCAGGGACCGCACCCGUAAAGAAAACGGGUUCUAUCUCCCCUGGCAAUCACUGCACACUUAAACAAAUUGUAAUGCCAUAAACUCAUUCUCAAGAUUUGUCUGGCACCAGGC